rnacentral:sRNA from 1 species
UAUCAGCACGGUUUUCAGGCGCUGGUA